rnacentral:rRNA from 1 species
GAUGAACGCUGGCGGCGUGCCUAAUACAUGCAAGUCGAGCGAACAGAUGAGGAGCUUGCUCCUCUGACGUUAGCGGCGGACGGGUGAGUAACACAUGGAUAACCUACCUAUAAGACUGGGAUAACUUCGGGAAACCGGAGCUAAUACCGGAUAAUAUAUUGAACCGCAUGGUUCAAUAGUGAAAGACGGUUUUGCUGUCACUUAUAGAUGGAUCCGCGCCGCAUUAGCUAGUUGGUAAGGUAACGGCUUACCAAGGCAACGAUGCGUAGCCGACCUGAGAGGGUGAUCGGCCACACUGGAACUGAGACACGGUCCAGACUCCUACGGGAGGCAGCAGUAGGGAAUCUGCCGCAAUGGGCGAAAGCCUGACGGAGCAACGCCGCGUGAGUGAUGAAGGUCUUCGGAUCGUAAAACUCUGUUAUUAGGGAAGAACAAAUGUGUAAGUAACUAUGCACGUCUUGACGGUACCUAAUCAGAAAGCCACGGCUAACUACGUG